AAGCUAAACCCUGCCUGGGGCCUCCCUGCCCAGAAAGGGCAGGAAAGGAGAGUUAAGGAGGAUUUAGAGACCCGCCCACCUGCUGAGAGAUUAGAUGAGAUCAAUAUACAGAGAGCUGGGCCAAGAUCCCCUGGAGGGGCUCGUUAAGACCCGUGACCCUGAGAGGUAAUUAACAGGCUUGCAGGGGUUGGGCGGGAGUACCACCCCACCCCCACCCAAGUACUCAAGCAGCCCCCAAAUCGAGGGCUGGAGUCCCGGCUCCCUUCUUACUCCUCCACACCAGCCCUCGGUUCGGAAUCUGGGUCUCAUCCAGACGGGGCACAGAAAAGUGGAGGAGCUUGUCCAAGGUCACAUCACCAGUAAAUGAUGAAGACUUCCGUGGUCAGAGGAUGAGAUGGUUGGAUGGCAUCACCGACUCGGUGGACAUGAGUUUGAGUAAGCUCCAGGAGUUGGUGAUGGACAGGGAAGCCUGGCGUGCUGCAGUCCGUGGGGUCGCAAAGAGUUGGACAGGGCUGAGCGACUGAACUGAACUCCCUGGUGGUCCAGUGAUUAAGAAUCCAUCUGUCAAUGCAGGGGACACGGGUUCUAUCCUUGGCCCGGGAAGACCCCAUACCCCGCAGGGCAACUAAGCCGGCGCACCACAACUUCUGAGCCUGCGCUCUAGAGCCCUUGAACCGGAACUACUGCGCCUGAACGCUGCAGCUACUGAAGUCCAUGCGCCUAGAGCCUGUGCUCCACAACAAAGGAAACUGCCGCAACGAGAAGCCAGGGCACCACAACAGAGAGCGGCCCCCACUCGAGGCAACUAGAGAAAGCCCACAAAGCAACAAACACCUGUGCAACCAAAAAUAAAAAUAAUUAAUUUAAAAAAAAAGUGAUGAAUCUGGGAUUCAAAUCCAGGCCCUUGGGAACCAAAGCUUGGGCCCCCACCCUUGUGAACUACAGUUUCUUUUACUUUCUCUGCAUCCCCUGACCUGCUCAGACUGCUAGACAAGGUAACACCAAUAACACCACCAUAUCGUCCCCAGUCAUUUUUAUGGCACCUUUAACCACUUAGAAGUCAACUGAGCAUCCAGAUGAAAGGAAAAAGUAGCUAGGCAAUGAAGCACGUACUACCAGCCAAAGCACAUAGCCCAGAAGGUCUAUAAGCUCCAGGAAGAUGGGGAUCCCAUUAAUCUUACCUUGAGAAGCAUAAAGACCAGCAUGGGGUGAGUGGUCAGUAUCUUUUAGUGGAGAUGAAUCGGACUCAUGGUUGUGGCCCUGACAUAUAGCCUAUGUACUCAUAGAAUGGCAACCCACUCCAGUGUUCUUGCCUGGAGAAUCCCAGGGACGGCAGAGCCUGGUGGGCUGCUGUCUCUGGGGUCACACAGAGUCGGACACGACUGAAGCGACUUAGCAGCAGCAGCAGCAGUGAUAGUGAAGUCACUCAGUCGUGUCCGACUCUUUGCGACCCCAUGGACAGUAGCCAACCAGGCUCCUCCGUCCAUGGGAUUUUCCAGGCAAGAGUACUGGAGUGGGUUGCCAUUUGCUUCUCCAGGGGAUCUUCCCAGCCCAGGGAUCGAACCCGGGUCUCCUGCGUUGUAGGCAGACGCUUUACCAUCUGAGCUACCAGGGAAGUCACAUUUACUCAUAGUUUAGACAUAAUAAUAACUACCAUAAUAGUUGGUUAUGUUAAAUGAGCGAAGGGAACUAAUCAAGGUGGACAAACCAACAGUGAUGAAGGCAAGAGAUGGGAGGAAAUCUUGCCUGAGUCUGGAUU
ensembl:lncRNA